GAUGAACGCUAGCUACAGGCUUAACACAUGCAAGUCGAGGGACCGGCGCACGGGUGAGUAACACGUAUCCAACCUGCCCUUUACUCGGUGAUAGCCUUUCGAAAGAAAGAUUAAUACCCGAUAUAAAGGAUGGGGAUGCGUUCCAUUAGGUUGUUGGUGAGGUAACGGCGCACCAAGCCUUCGAUGGAUGGGCGUUCUGAGAGGAAGGCCCCCCACCUUGGAACGGAGACACGGUCCAAACUCCUACGGGAGGCAGAAGUGAGAAAUAUUGGGCAGUGGGAGCUAGACUGAACCAGCCAAGGAGCGUGAAGGAUGAAGGCUUAUGGGUCGUAAACUUCUUUUAUAUAAAAAUAUGUAUUAUAUGAAUAAGGAUCGGCUAACUCCGUGCCAGCAACCGCGGUAAUUC
rnacentral:rRNA from 1 species